AAGACCCAAAGUUAAUAACUGAGGAUACUCGUGAUUGCAGGUAGUUAGGGAUGUGACAGCAUAAGUUAGUGUGAUCACUUCGUGAGUCUUGUUAGAGUAGAUACACAGAAUCAAUAUAAACACUCGUUGUCUUUUCACCUUUGUGCAGUCAAUUGUUAUGUUGACUAUCUGACAUAAACAGAGCCAGUAAGUCUUUUUUUUUUUCCGGGAGGGGGAUGGAGGUUCCUCGGUCUUUGUUUCAUUCAGGCUGCAAAUCAAAUGUUCCUGUCAACAAGUGCUGCAGUCCCAGUCAAUCAACGUGAAGGGUGGACAGAUUUAGCCUUGUCCUUGGAGACCCUGCGUUCUGCCGCGCAGAGUCUGCGCCGUCUCGCUGCCCUGUGGAAUUACCAUGCCCACCAGAUAGCAACUGAUUUACAUCUGAAACACCUGUCUACUUGACGCUCCGUCCAAAGAAUGACUUUGAUUACCGAAUAGGUUGCUGUACAGCUGGAGCUCGGCAGCUGAGCCAUCCUCUCUCCUCAUGGGUGCUCUCCUGUGAAUAAUUAAAGACGACUGGUGAAAUGUGCGCGCCCGGAACGUCACAGGGAAGAUCUAUUUCAGAGGAGCCGUAGCCGGCACGUCCCGCCCCUUAACCCCGAUGGGGAAGAGGCCAAAUGCGCCCCACCGCUGUGUACCCCCGGGCGCAGUGGCAUAAAUGAUGGUGCGGAGGUCGGGUCCUCAGAACAGCCGACAUUUUCCAUGUUCGCUCCCCAUCAAUUAAAAAAUGCUUAAAUGCAAAUUGAAGGCUACGUCAAGGCAACAGGUGCUGAGGAGGCACCCACUAAUUACCAGCAGCUGAAUUAGCUCCAGAACUUCUCGGGGCUUGGACAAGGAUUGAGAGGCGCACCUGCAGCAACGGCACCGGACCACAUGGAACCAGUUUGUGGACAAAAGAUGACAAUACCUGAAUUAAAAAAAUAUAUAUUUUAAAGUGAUAAUCA